rnacentral:lncRNA from 1 species
GUAAAGCUUCAGGUUCAGGUGUUUAGUCCAGGGUCUUUGUGAUCCUAAAUUGACCUUCCCCAUCGAUUCAGCCACACCCACUAUUGUGAUGGGCAGACAGGCCUCGACUCUAGUGCAGGGGUGGUGGAGAGGGGACUGUGCCAGUUCCCUGGACAAUCCCAGCUGCUUCAUCUUGGACUGACAUGGACACCAGGCAGUAACACCAGCUCUUGGGAGUUGGUGGGAACAGGUGUAAUAUCAAAGCUCCCAGCUCUGCACUCUCCUGUCACAUAGGAAGACCUCAGAAAAUGGAGGUUCCUUCCUUUCCACCUGCACUGGGGGAGUGCAAUGAGCAGAAGAAAAGCGAAGGUCCCUCCACCUUCUGAGAUCAGCUGACACCUGAGCUUAGGCCUCCCUACCUAAGAGCUGGGUCCUAAUUCACUGGUUCUGUACAUCAGGAAGGCAAAGCACAGACAGAGCACACCACCACCUGCAGCUGUCUCCUGCCUCCAGUGCAUCAGAGUCUGGAGCGCGUUGCUUCUCUGGAGGGAGAUAAAGACACAGUGGCUACCUGGGGAGAUAAAACAGCACCAGCAGGAAUCAGGGGUUCCAGAGAGGAGGGAACCUGGCCCUGGGCUAUGUGUGUAUCAGUUGUGAUAUGCAUAAUCAUCUUUGGUCUUAUUUUUUCCAAGUGACUGGAAAAGUUCAUUUCUAGCUUACUUACCUCUGUUCCUUCCUUAAACUCCUCUAGCCUGGCUUUUGUCUCUGCCAUUUCUACUAAAACCACUCUGCUCAAGGCUGUCAUCAGUGUCUCCACUGCCCAGCCCUGGACUGUCAGAGCCACUCCGGGACAUCUGCACCAGAUGCAUGAGUUUCCUGAUACAGCGAAAUCUCAGCAGGAGUUGACACCCACCUGCCUGGUGCUCUGGGAUGAAUUUCUGCACAGAUGCAACCUCUGUGGGUGGAAGCCAGGAUGAAGUAUAUGCAUCUGUGAAGACUGGCCUUCCAUCUGUUUUCUGAUGCAACCAAAAUGCUUCAGGGCUCGUCUUAUCUGGAGGUUUGAUGGCUACAGACGUGAGGGGCUUCCAGGUAGAGCUCAGACCUGAGACUUCUGGUCCCCUGUCUGGACAUCUGUAUGAAGACGGAGAAGCACCAGCCAACCUCUCCACAACCCUCACCAAGUUCUCAUGGAACAUCCUCUGAUGGUCCCUCUCGGUGCUGGGUUCUGGCAGGAGAAAGAGAAGUCAGGGAACAGAAGAGCUGCUCUGCCAAAGUCAUACCCUUCUUGGAGACACAGGGAACUCCAUCUCUCAUUCUCACUAGCAAUUUGCUGUGGCAACUCAAAUGUUUUUCCAGAUGGAACAUAAGCAGACGUGAUGUGUUUGCCUUCCAGGUCUAACCCAUGCAAAGCCUCCUGGGAACACACCUCACGCUAUUUUCUAUUCCAUCAGGUGGAUAUGGAUGAUGAUUAGGAACUAGGGUGAGGUGGAGCCAGAAAACACAAGGAGCCUGGAUCCCUGAAUGACCACAUGGACAUACACAUGCUGAAGACUGCCUUGUAAGCAGGAAAUAAACAUCUACUGUAUUGAACCUUUGCAUGUAGGGACUAUUUUUUAUAGCAGCAUAGCUUUACUCUGACUAAUACAAUCCUUGCACUCAAGAGUUUACGGUCGUUUUAAGGAGACAAGACUCAGUCACAC